AACUCUUUUUCAAGUUCUGGUGAGAUUCGCCGGAGAUAAAUAAAAGAUAAAGUAUAGUCUACAAAACACAUAGUUCACUCUUCAGGGCUUGUGCCAGAUGGAUUUGGGAAAGUCUUUAUUACUCCCAUUACUCGAAAAUGAGUUCAAAUGACGUCAGAACAAACGCACACAAUAUGUGCCCAGUGUAUUUAAAAGGGCAUACUGCAAAACAAAUAACCUCACUGCAACAGAGACAUAAUAGCUUGUGCUUCACCAUUACUGAAGAAUGCUUCCCAUUGCUCUUGUUCUCCUCUUCUUCUCCCUCCUGCUGCCAUGCGGAGGUGCAUCUGUCAAACCAGUGUUUUCCAACAGAGCCAUGGAAACUUCAGCAGACACACAGACAGGACUAUCUGAAGGCUACAUCCCACGACUCCUUAUACUCCUCUCAAACGUAAAGAAUACCGAACAGGACAAUAACAUGCGCUUCAGAGGAACUCUCGUCGACGGAGAUGCAGGUCCCAUGAAAAGACAGGAGGAGAAUGAUGCUGAACCCCCAGCUGAAGUCUUCACAGUUAAACAGGCUAAACGCAAGGAAGGCUGCAAGUUUUUGUACUAUAAAACGUGGACCACUUGCUAAAAUGAGUGAGUGUUGUAACACAAUUUGUUUAAAAGUCUGUGACUCAGUAUUUUUUUUUUUUAAUCUGCUACAAAUUCUGCCAUGGAUUCCUAAACUGUGUCAAACAAUGUCAAACAAAGAGCGUCUGUUACAGCUGUCUCUGUUACAGGGAGUAUAACAAUAUUAAACACAUUUAAUUUCUGUGCUUGAAUUGUGUUAAUAAAAUGUACUAAUAAAAUGUAAUAAUAUAAUCAUUGGAAAGCAAUAUAGGCCAUGUGGGUGAUUAGUAAUCCAAUUGAAAUUUAUGAUGUGCUUUUUGUACAAAAAUGGCCUAUAUUUAAUGAUGUAAGGAAACUUGAAAAAUAU